rnacentral:rRNA from 1 species
CAGAGGGGGCAAGCGUUGUUCGGAAUUACUGGGCGUAAAGGGCGCGUAGGCGGCCUUCUAAGUCGAACGUGAAAUCCCUGGGCUCAACCCAGGAACUGCGUCCGAUACUGGGAGGCUUGAAUCCGGGAGAGGGAUGUGGAAUUCCGAGUGUAGAGGUGAAAUUCGUAGAUAUUCGGAAGAACACCAGUGGCGAAGGCGGCUCACUGGACCGGUAUUGACGCUGAGGUGCGAAAGCGUGGGGAGCAAACAGG